GGGGGGACGGAGAAGGCUAGGUGGGCCUGGCGACGGUUGUCCAGGUUCAAGUGCGUAGGCUUAAGAGUUAGGUAAAUCCGGCUCUUUCUAAGGCUGAGACACGACGUCGAGCAUCUACGGAUGUGAAGUCAUUGAUGCCAUGCUUCCAGGAAAAGCCUCUAAGCUUCAGAUUGUAAGGAAUCGUACCCCAAACCGACACAGGUGGUCGGGUAGAG
rnacentral:rRNA from 1 species